rnacentral:rRNA from 1 species
AUGAAUUGACGGGGGCCCGCACAAGCGGUGGAGCAUGUGGUUUAAUUCGAUGCAACGCGAAGAACCUUACCUACUCUUGACAUCCAGAGAAUUCGCUAGAGAUAGCUUAGUGCCUUCGGGAACUCUGAGACAGGUGCUGCAUGGCUGUCGUCAGCUCGUGUUGUGAAAUGUUGGGUUAAGUCCCGCAACGAGCGCAACCCUUAUCCUUUGUUGCCAGCACGUAAUGGUGGGAACUCAAAGGAGACUGCCGGUGAUAAACCGGAGGAAGGUGGGGAUGACGUCAAGUCAUCAUGGCCCUUACGAGUAGGGCUACACACGUGCUACAAUGGCAUAUACAAAGAGAAGCAAACUCGCGAGAGCAAGCGGACCUCAUAAAGUAUGUCGUAGUCCGGAUUGGAGUCUGCAACUCGACUCCAUGAAGUCGGAAUCGCUAGUAAUCGUAGAUCAGAAUGCUACGGUGAAUACGUUCCCGGGCCUUGUACACACCGCCCGUCACACCAUGGGAGUGGGUUGCAAAAGAAGUAGGUAGCUUAACCUUCGGGAGGG